rnacentral:tRNA from 1 species
GGUGCUGUGGCUUAGUUGGUCAAGGUGUCUGUUAACAGGAGAUCUUUGGUUCAAAUCCCAGCGGUGCCU